AACGCGAAGAACCUUACCAGGCCUUGACAUCCCUCUGCCAACCCUAGAGAUAGGGUGUGCCUUCGGGCCAGAGGAGACAGGUGGUGCAUGGUUGUCGUCAGCUCGUGUCGUGAGAUGUUGGGUUAAGUCCCGCAACGAGCGCAACCCUUGACGUUAGUUGCCAGCAUUAAGUUGGGCACUCUAGCGUGACUGCCGGUGACAAACCGGAGGAAGGCGGGGAUGACGUCAAAUCAUCAUGCCCCAUAUGGCCUGGGCUACACACGUACUACAAUGGCUGGUACAACGGGAAGCGAAGCUGCGAAGCGGAGCGAAUCUUAAGAAGCCAGUCUCAGUUCGGAUUGCAGGCUGCAACUCGCCUGCAUGAAGUCGGAAUUGCUAGUAAUCGCGGAUCAGCAUGCCGCGGUGAAUACGUUCCCGGGCCUUGUACACACCGGACACGC
rnacentral:rRNA from 1 species